rnacentral:rRNA from 1 species
UACGUAGGAGGCAAGCGUUGUCCGGAAUUACUGGGCGUAAAGCGCGUGUAGGUGGUGGGACAAGUCUGCUGUGAAAGCGCCUGGCUUAACCGGGCGAGGUCGGCGGAAACUGUUCGACUCGAGGACGGUAGAGGGGGGUGGAAUUCCCGGUGUAGUGGUGAAAUUCGUAGAUAUCGAGAAGAACACCGGUGGCGAAGGCGGCCAACUGGACGGUGACUGACACUGAGACGCGAAAGCGUGGGGAGCAAACAGG